GACGAACGCUGGCGGCGUGCUUAACACAUGCAAGUCGAACGAAGAGCGAUGGAAGCUUGCUUCUAUCAAUCUUAGUGGCGAACGGGUGAGUAACGCGUAAUCAACCUGCCCUUCAGAGGGGGACAACAGUUGGAAACGACUGCUAAUACCGCAUACGAUCCAAUCUCGGCAUCGGGACUGGAUGAAAGGUGGCCUCUAUUUAUAAGCUAUCACUGAAGGAGGGGAUUGCGUCUGAUUAGCUAGUUGGAGGGGUAACGGCCCACCAAGGCGAUGAUCAGUAGCCGGUCUGAGAGGAUGAACGGCCACAUUGGGACUGAGACACGGCCCAGACUCCUACGGGAGGCAGCAGUGGGGAAUCUUCCGCAAUGGACGAAAGUCUGACGGAGCAACGCCGCGUGAGUGAUGACGGCCUUCGGGUUGUAAAGCUCUGUUAAUCGGGACGAAUGGUUCUUGUGCGAAUAGUGCGAGGAUUUGACGGUACCGGAAUAGAAAGCCUCGGCUAACUACGUG
rnacentral:rRNA from 1 species